GACGAACGCUGGCGGCGUGCUUAACACAUGCAAGUCGAGCGGUAAGUCCUCUUCGGGGGUCCACGAGCGGCGUACCGGGGAGUAACACGCGCGUGACCUCCCCUUAACUCUGCGAUAAGGCUGGGAAACUGGGUCUAAUACCGGAUAUGACCUUUUCUCGCCUGGGGUUUGGGGGCAAGUUUUUUUGGCUGGGGGUGGGGCCGCGGCCUGUCAGCCUGGUGGUGGGGUGAUGGCCUACCGAGGCGACGACGGGUAGCCGGGCUGGGGGGGCGACCGGCCAAGCUGGGACUGAGGCACGGCCCAGACUCCUUCGGGAAGGAGCAGUGGGGGAAAUUGCGCAAUGGGCGGAAGCCUGACGCAGCGACGGCGCGUGGAGGAUGGCGGGCUUCGGGUUGUAAACCUCUUUCGACCCCGGCGGAUUUUGACGGUAGCGGUAGAAGAAGCACCGGCCAACUACGUG
rnacentral:rRNA from 1 species